rnacentral:rRNA from 1 species
ACUUAUAUUCUGUAGCAAGGUUAACCGAAUAGGGGAGCCGAAGGGAAACCGAGUCUUAACUGGGCGUUAAGUUGCAGGGUAUAGACCCGAAACCCGGUGAUCUAGCCAUGGGCAGGUUGAAGGUUGGGUAACACUAACUGGAGGACCGAACCGACUAAUGUUGAAAAAUUAGCGGAUGACUUGUGGCUGGGGGUGAAAGGCCAAUCAAACCGGGAGAUAGCUGGUUCUCCCCGAAAGCUAUUUAGGUAGCGCCUCGUGAAUUCAUCUCCGGGGGUAGAGCACUGUUUCGGCAAGGGGGUCAUCCCGACUUACCAACCCGAUGCAAACUGCGAAUACCGGAGAAUGUUAUCACGGGAGACACACGGCGGGUGCUAACGUCCGUCGUGAAGAGGGAAACAACCCAGACCGCCAGCUAAGGUCCCAAAGUCAUGGUUAAGUGGGAAACGAUGUGGGAAGGCCCAGACAGCCAGGAUGUUGGCUUAGAAGCAGCCAUCAUUUAAAGAAAGCGUAAUAGCUCACUGGUCGAGUCGGCCUGCGCGGAAGAUGUAACGGGGCUAAACCAUGCACCGAAGCUGCGGCAGCGACACUGUGUGUUGUUGGGUAGGGGAGCGUUCUGUAAGCCUGUGAAGGUGUGCUGUGAGG